rnacentral:rRNA from 1 species
GACGUAGGGGGCCAGCGUUGUUCGGAAUUACUGGGUGUAAAGGGUUCGUAGGCGGUGUAGCAAGUCGGGAGUGAAAUCUCUGGGCUUAACCCAGAGGCUGCUUCCGAAACUGCUGUGCUUGAGUGUGGGAGAGGCGCGUGGAAUUGCAGGUGUAGCGGUGAAAUGCGUAGAUAUCGGGAGGAACACCAGUGGCGAAGGCGGCACUCUGGGCCGGAACUGACGCUGAGGAGCGAAAGCGUGGGGAGCGAACAGG